rnacentral:tRNA from 1 species
GGUCCUAUAACUCAGUUGGUUAGAGUGUCGUACUAAUAAUGCGAACGUCGGGAGUUCGAGUCUCCCUGGGAUCA